UUGUAAAAUGUGUGCCUGGCUGCAUGCACCUCCCCUUCACCUUUCUCAUAUCCUGAUUUUCCCCUUUCCUCUUUGGGUGGCAUUUCAGAGCUAUCUGAAGUACCUGGUCUGUAAUUAAGGGUAAAGCAAAGAAUGUCUUGGUCAUCUGGGAAGGCAGUCACCUCCAAAGGUGAGAGCAGGCGAGUCCUGCAGACUGACUCCUUGACUCAGGAUACUGGUCUUGACAGCAGAGGUGCAUAUCAAAGGUAUGAUUUCAGUGAACCCUGGCCUCUUUUGUUCCAGCUACCUGCCCUUUGUUGCAAAAACUCCUAUGUAUCCUAGUGCCUCCCUCUCCACCUCGGAACAGUUUCUCAGGGCUAUCUGAGUUGCUGUCUCCCAGGAUUAAGUCCUAAUUUUGCCACAAAUAUAACUUAACUCUCGGAGGAGUUCCCAUAGUGGCUCAGCUGAAACGAAUCCAACUAGGAACUGUGAGGUUGAGGGUCUGAUCCCUGGUCUCGCUCAGUGGGUUAAGGAUCUGGCAUUUCUGUGAGCUGUGAUAUAAGUCAUAGACACAGCUUAGAUCCUGUGUUGCUGUGGCUGUGGUGUAGGCCAGCAGCUGUAGCUCUGAUUCCCUGGGGACUUCCAUAUGCCAUGGGUGCAGCACUAAAAAACAAACAAACAAACAAAACCAAACAAACAAAAAAAAGAAGUCUCAACUUUCAGGUUGUGCAUUUAAAAAAUUUUUUUCAAUUAAAUUUUUUUUUGCUUUUUAUAGCUGCACCCAUGGCAUAUGGAAGUUCUUAGAGUAGUUGCAUGGUGACUUGGAAGUGGACAAUCUAGUGGCUAGUCUUGUCCUGCUUUUCAUUAAUCACAUUGUUGCUGGAGUUCAGCUUCUGUCUGCUGGUGCUGAAUUGAAAUGCAGAGAUAGAGUUUUGGAUAAAGGAGAAACAAUAGCUUUAUAGCUUUGCCAGGCAAAGGAGGGUCAUAGCAGGCUAAUGACUUAAAGACUGUGUCCCCCCCAUUAGAAAGAAUUGUGAGGAGUUUUAUAGUAAAAAGGAGAAGAACAGGUUUUCAGAUAGGAAUCGGGAUUGGGACAAACAUGCAUUUUUCUUUCUUUGGGAGAAUCUUAGUCAUCAAAGCUGGAGUCAGGAGAUCUAGGUAUGUUCAUGAGGUGGUCUUCUGGGGUUUUGUCCAGAAUAACACUACUUACAAAAAGGACAUAAUUGAUCAGAGAUUAGAACCAACUAGGAAAGUUGCUGAAAAACAUCAUGUGCUAAUAAUCUUUAACCUGUAAUCAAUUAUGCUCAGUGUGCCUUAUCUUUAGUUUAUGGGUGAUGGUGUUCAGGGGUGCAAUUAAGCCAGGAGAAUGACAAGGAAGGACUCUAAGCUGUUCAAUUUUAAAGUAUUCAUUUCUAAAAAAAGAUAAGAAAUGUAACUCUUCUCUUAAGUGUGUAAGAUGCCUAUAUUAUUAUGUGUAUCCCUUGAGAGGGAACCAGGAUUCUGUCCCAAGGCUGUAUGUACUAUUGUUGCUUGACUGAUCCAUCCUUGUCUUUGCAUCUCCUCCCUUCCCUGAUGAGCAACUGUCUGAACCUGUCCCUAGGAAUUCAGGGAAGGUCAUGAUGGCUGAACGAGGCCCAUUUCCUAAGAACAAGAAAUGGGGAACAUAGAAAAGUGUUUGCGCCCAUGAGCCCCACAGGGCCAUGUCUGGUUUCUACAUGACCCUGGUGGAAUCAGUCUCUACACCUGUUAAACUCUCUGCCUUCCUCUACCCUAAGAGCACUAUGACAAUGUGUUCUGUGUGAGCAGGUUAUGUCCACAGGUGACUCAUCAAGAAGUUAAGGCAAAACUAUUAAAGAAUAAGUCAGAGUGGUCCUCUUUCGUACUAAACCCUGAUUUUCAAAUGUAUCUCAUAUUAGUAAAACCUUUAAGAUAAACUGGUAAACACCCCUCCUGAAAAACCCCAAUUAAAACAAAAGCAAAAACUAAAACAAAAAAUCCAACCAAGCAAGCAAAGAACAAAACAAAACAAAAACAAAAUUGUAUUUAUCUUCCCCAUAAGAUCAGUAUUAAAAGAAAAAUAUGGUAACAAUGACGAUCAUAGGUAGGGAAAAUGUAACUCCUGUUUCCUAUUUAUAAAAUGGAAAUGGUAUGUACAUGCCAGUUGGUAUGUUUGUUUUUUGAGGUUAUGCAGAAGGGACUUACUGAGUAGAUGAAAGCAGAGGGAGGAAAACCACUAGGGAAGCAGAAGAGUCAAUGAGAUAGAAAUUGCACCAGAAAGCAGGACCUCAGAGUCAAAACAGAAGUGCAGAUUUUCAAAAUUAUUAAAGAAAGCAUUGAUCUUCCUGCAGGGCUUUGGCUGGAAGGGUGGAGACAACAUUAUUUAAAUCUCGAAGGACAGGGUGACUUCAUUUAAACUGGGGAUUUAAAUCAGUCUUGGGGAAUAGUCACAGUUACUAGAGGAUGAGAGAGGAAACAGUUAAACCCCAGUGCCUUGCAGCCAGCCCUGCAUUGGAGAAGUUGGAGGAUUAUAUCUUGGCACUAAUUUGUGAAUGUUAUAACUGAGCUCCCUGAAUGACAGAAUAACAAGCAACCCAAUUUACCCCUUCAGAUUAGAAAAGGGAAAAUGGCCCAAGGGCAGCAGAGUCUUUGAGUGAAGCCAGGCCUGUCAAUUUAGAAUGAUUUCUGUAGGUUUUUUUUUUUUUUUUUUGCGAGGUGAAAUCCUGGUAUUCCGCAGUAACUCUGAGGGUUUUCAACUCUUUCUCUCUCUCUUUCUUUCUCUCUCUCUCUCUUUCUUUAUUUCUUUCUUUCUUUUCCUCCCACUUUUUCUCUUAUUCACCUGAUAAGUCACUCCAUCAGACUUUUAAUACAACUGGCUAUGUCAUAGGAUUUUUCCUGGUAAACUUACUUCCACCUUUAACCAAUCCACCAUGGCUGUUCCAGUGGGCAAGUCUCAGCCAUGCUACUCACAUUGCCCAGUUUACCUAUAACCAUGCUUAGAGACAAUAUAGGAAAUGCUCAGCCCUUUUGCACUCUUUCUUGGUCUUUCAUUUUAUUUAUUUAUUUGGCCACACCCUCAGCAUAUGGAAGUUCCAUGGCCAGGGAUGAAAUCCGAGCCACAGCUGCAGCCUACACCACAGCUAUGGCAAAGCUGGAUCCUUAACCCACAGCACAGCUGGGCAAGGGAUCAAACCUGUGCCUCAGCAAUGACCCUAGAUGCUUCAGAGAUAAUGCCAGAUCCUUAACCCAUGGAGUCAUAGUGGGAACUCCUGUUUUUCAUUUAAAAUAUCCUUUCUCCAUUUGUUUCACACUUGGCAGUAUAUCCUGAUCUUGGUUUCAUUGUUUUUUUCUUCACCCUCCCACUCACAAACUAAUGAUUAGCUUGCAAUUUCUUAACCAGUUCCUAUUCUGCUGGAAUUGCAGAAUAGGAGAAAACUCAAAAAGAAUUUUCAUCUUUUUUUUUUUUUUUUUUUUUUUACUGGUUUUAGUUGUGCCAUAUGAUUUCAGGUUUUUUUGAACCAUUUGUGUAAUCUGUUUAAAAUUUUAUUAUUGUUAAGAGACAGCAUAAUACCAUAAUGGUCAUGUUGAGGCAACAUGGCUUUUAGGUUCCGUCACAUCUUUGAUGAGUUAUGGUAAUCAGUUUGUUAACAUCUAUAACCUCAUUUUUUUCUCUCUGUAACUAGUCUUUAACCCCUGCAUCAUAGAUUUCUGAAAACUUAAUAAGAUACGAAUUUGAAAUGGAAGCAACAUUAUUGAGACAUGCUAGCCAUUACUAUGACUACUACUUUCACUCCCACUAAUAUUGCCACAUUAAACUGUUUGGAAGCUAUGUUACUGCUCCUUUUCAAAGGAUUCUCAUUGCUGUGUAUAUGCUUUUUAGCAUUAAAAAAAAAUGGAUGAAUUGUGCCUUAAAUGCAUGUUCUUUGCUUUCACUAAAUAGACAGCAUACAGGUUGAAAAAGGCUAGAGACUUAUCUUGUCCUACAUCUGAUUUUUUUUUUUUUUUUUGAGUUGCUGUGCUAUGGAGUAAAACACGAGCAUGCCAAUAAAUUGAUGUCUCAACCUUUAGAGUUGAAAACUUGCUGUGGCUAAAGUCCCAAGGCUGGAUGCCUAUGGCCACAAGCAGCCAUAACUCUUUAACCCUCAGUUUCCAUGCAUGCUAUGAUGUGAUAGUUGGAAGGCCUUAGUCUAAGAGCAACUCUGCCAACAGAUGAUGAAUUUGGUAAAUUCUCUGCAUGUAACUAGUGUGUAUACUGUCAUAUGCACAUACAUUUUUGCUUGUAUAUUUAUUUUUAUUUUAUAUAUUUCAAUUGAGGAAUGAUUUAUGGAGUGUAUAGUAUUGAACUAAUCAUACCAAAGUUUUAAGAGAAUUGAUCAUUCUACUGUAUUGUGAGAAGGAGGGCAGUUUAUUAAAAUCAAACAGCAUUCAUUUUAGAGAAUAGUUAGAGAUUAUCUGUCAGAAGAAUUUAGUUGCCUGGUCCAUGAGAUAGUUAAGUAAUUAUUAUUGAAUUUAAUAUGUAAAUAAUAGUAUGUUUCAAGUCUUUAUUAAACUCAUUGGGUUUUCUGUACCACAUGAAGUACUUAAUAAAUGUUCCUUAAAGGAAUAUCUAUCUUGUAAAAAUGCUUUGAUCAUUUUUUAGGGAAAUGAGAUAAGUGGACAAUAUGGAGGGUGAGGUUUUAGAUUUAUUCGUUUAAAUUUUGUGUCAAAAUUAUUAUGGAAAGAGGCUAUGUUUUUUCAUAAAAGAUCUGGAGCAACCGUAGAGGCAGAAUUAUAAAGUGAAUGAAUUAUAAAUUGUGUUUUUAAAAAAGCAUCAUCUGGAGUGUCAUGGGAUGUUCCUUUGCCUUCUCAUAGAAACCAGUUUUCUCAUCUUUAUGUUUGGAAAUUACAAAUUACCGUCAACCUAUAGUGAACUUUUGCAGAUAUCAUUUUGUGCUUUAUAUAAUCCAGGAUACUGUACACUCCCUUUUGUCUUGUGUGCAGGCAUUUUCCCGCUGCAUUCCCACUAUUGUGAAGCUUUCCAUUGAGGGCACAUGUUUCUAUAUCCUAGUCUCAUUUUAUUUAAAUAUUCUGCUGUGGUUGAUUAACCACAAGCUAUAUAAGCAGUAAAAAGAAGGAAAAAGAAAUAACUUCAUACAGAAUUAUUGUCAAUAGAAGGUGACACAGGCUGAAGUAAUAAUAAAAGUUAAAUGGAGAAUAUAUCAAAUUAAUGUAUGGCAUAAUCCCAAACUCCAUGAAAGGUUUGGUUUACUGCGAUGUUAGGGGAAGCAAGUAUAGUCUUGAAAGGCUAGUUAUUUUUGAAUUCCUGAAGGGCAAAGUAACCUUUAUAUAAAAGCCACCUACUGAGAGACUAAGAUGAAAUUUUAGUAUGUCUGUGUAAUUUUCUUUGUAAUGAUGUUAUAACAGUCUACAUUCUUUAUAACAAAUAUGUAUAAGCAUAGAUUCAGGAAUAAACUAUGUCAUUAUCUGCUAUGGGAAGCUAAUAGGAAAUAAAGUGUUAUAAAGCAUGAAUUUAUAAAGCCUUGUCCAGAGGUAAGAAACAAUUCUGGAUUAUUGGCACUGAUUAUGUCAGUCAUUCACCAAAAAGAAAAUAAAUAAAUCAUCAAAUAUUAGAAAUGAUAGCACACCUGUUAAAGCUCAAGAAGAUAGUUACAGGUAAGUAAAAGAAUAUUUUAUUUUACUUAGUGGAGAAUAAACAUAAGAAAACUAUAACCCUAAUCGAGUAGCCACAAGUUGUUAUGGGAAGUGAUGGGUGUUAGGACCGNUUUUUUUUUUUUUUUUGUCUUUUGCCUUUUUAGGCCCACACCUGCGGCAUAUGGAAGUUCCCAGGAUAGGGCUUGAAUGGGAGUCAUUGCUGCUGGCUUAUGCCUGACCUAUAUCACAGCUCAUGGGAACGCCAGAUCCUUAACCCACUGAGUUAGGCCAGGGAUUGAACCUGCAACCUCAUUGUUCCUAGUCAGAUUCAUUUCUGCCGC
rnacentral:lncRNA from 1 species